rnacentral:rRNA from 1 species
AUACGUAGGGGGCGAGCGUUGUCCGGAAUGAUUGGGCGUAAAGGGCGCGUAGGCGGCCCGGUAAGUCUGGAGUGAAAGUCCUGUUUUUAAGAUGGGAAUUGCUUUGGAUACUGUCGGGCUUGAGUGCAGGAGAGGUAAGUGGUAUUCCCAGUGUAGCGGUGAAAUGCGUAGAGAUUGGGAGGAACACCAGUGGCGAAGGCGACUUACUGGACUGUAACUGACGCUGAGGCGCGAAAGUGUGGGGAGCAAACAGGAUUAGAUACCCUGGUAGUCCACACUGUAAACGAUGAAUGCUAGGUGUAGGGGGUAUCGACCCCUUCUGUGCCGCAGUCAACACAAUAAGCAUUCCGCCUGGGGAGUACGGCCGCAAGGUUGAAACUUAAAGGAAUUGACGGGG